rnacentral:lncRNA from 1 species
ACCACUCAUCAAGCCAUGCUGUGGGUAGGGAAAACCCAGCCCUUCCUCCUGUGUGUCUCUCCCGUGAGUCUCCUAUACUGCCACACGGAGCAUUUCACUUCUGACACGUCUGGUCACCAAAUGUGUGGGUUUUCCCCACAACAACAGGCAAGUUUCUGACGCCAGCUGGGUGUCCUACAAUUUGUCUCAAUUCUGACACUAUCUACCUGAAGACAAUGUCAGAUCCUACAGGUUGCUUCCGUCUUGGCUGUUGUGAAUAACGCUGCAGUGAACACAGAGGUGCAUGUACCUUUGUGCAUUUGUGUUUUCAUGUUCUUUGGCAUGGCUUGACAAGCUGUGCCAUGUCCACACCCAGGAUCCAAACUGGCAAACUGCAGGCCACUGAAGCGGAACAUGUGAACUAAACUGCUGGGCCACCAGGCCAGCCCCUGCAUUUCCCUGAAGGCAGUCCUCUCUGAAGUGUGAGCCCUGCCAGGAGCUUCGAGAACACCGCAGGGCAUGACUUUGCCGUUCAUUCAACAAACACCCACUGAGCACCAGCUGGACCCUGCAGACCCAGAGAUGGAGCAGCCCGGGUGGAGGCCUUGCCUGGGUCUGUCCAGCAGGAGAGCCCCGCCUGAAUGCAAACACCUGAGAUCAAUGCAGAUGCCCUGAGCAGAGCUGCUCUUCUUAUGCAACUCUGUUUCGAAGAGCGGAGUUCUUAACCUGGG